GAUGAACGCUGGCGGCGUGCUUAACACAUGCAAGUCGAGCGAUGAAGUUUCCCUCGGGAAACGGAUUAGCGGCGGACGGGUGAGUAACACGUGGGUAACCUGCCUCAUAGAGUGGAAUAGCCUUUCGAAAGGAAGAUUAAUACCGCAUAAUGUUGAAAGAUGGCAUCAUCAUUCAUCCAAAGGAGCAAUCCGCCAUGAUAUGGACCCGCGGCGCAUUAGCUAGUUGGUGGGGUAACGGCCGACCAAGGCGACGAUGCGUAGACGACCUGAGAGGGUGAUCGGCGACAGUGGGAGUGAGACACGGCCCAGAACCCUACGAGAUGCAGCAGUGGAAAAUAUUGCACAAUGGGGGAAACCCUGAUGCAGCAACGCCGCGUGAGUGAUGAAGGUUUUCGGAUCGUAAAGCCCUGUCUUUGGGGAAGAUAAUGACGGUACCCAAGGAGGAAGCAACGGCUAAGUACGUGCCAGCCUCAGCCGUAA
rnacentral:rRNA from 1 species